GAUGAACGCUGGCGGCGUGCCUAAUACAUGCAAGUCGAGCGAACGGACGAGAAGCUUGCUCCUCUGAUGUUAGCGGCGGACGGGUGAGUAACACGUGGAUAACCUACCUAUAAGACUGGGAUAACUUCGGGAAACCGGAGCUAAUACCGGAUAAUAUAUUGAACCGCAUGGUUCAAAAGUGAAAGACGGUCUUGCUGUCACUUAUAGAUGGAUCCGCGCUGCAUUAGCUAGUUGGUAAGGUAACGGCUUACCAAGGCAACGAUGCGUAGCCGACCUGAGAGGGUGAUCGGCCACACUGGAACUGAGACACGGUCCAGACUCCUACGGGAGGCAGCAGUAGGGAAUCUUCCGCAAUGGGCGAAAGCUUGACGGAGCAACGCCGCGUGAGUGAUGAAGGUCUUCGGAUCGUAAAACUCUGUUAUUAGGGAAGAACAUAUGUGUAAGUAACUAUGCACGUCUUGACGGUACCUAAUCAGAAAGCCACGGCUAACUACGUG
rnacentral:rRNA from 1 species